rnacentral:misc_RNA from 1 species
ACCUUCAAAUUCCUUGUCAAAAUUCCGCUUCCAUAUGCAAAUGGCUUCAGCUAAGGCACCAUUCUGAUUACGAAGAAAUGACAUCAUUGACAUUAACCAUUUUCUCUGCUUAACCUCACUAAUGCCAAGGCUCUUAGUACAAUCUACAUCCACAGGUCGCAAAGGGUAAGAUCCCGGAAGACGAAUUACUAGGUCCAUUCCUGUUUCGUCUUUUGUGUAGGUAGCCACCACUUCACUUGCAGAUUUGCUCACGGUGACAGAGAAAUUAUCAUCAGCAAAAUUGGCUUUUUUAAUCUGAGACAGUUCAUUCAUAAUCAGAGGGGGGCUACAAUAUGCUCUAGUGAAAAAUUCAAUGGCAGAUGAAGUAGAACGGUCACGUAUAUCGCUAAACCACCCUCGAACAUAAGCGGGAAGAACACAAAGCAUGAGGCCAAAAAUUGCACCAGCAAGUGAAGCAACUUUUUCUGGUCCGACAGGCCAAAGUGAUUCCAAGCAAAAUAAUACAGAAGUAGAAGUGAUGGCACGGGUUGCACAUUUUGCUGCUUCUGACACUGAAGCUGGA